rnacentral:rRNA from 1 species
AUACGGAGGGUGCAAACGUCGUUCGGAAUCACUGGGCGUAAAGGGCGCGCAGGCGGUUUGAUUAGUCAGAUGUGAAAGCCCACGGCUUAACCGUGGAAGUGCAUUUGAAACUGUCAGACUUGAGUAUCAGAGGGGAAAGUGGAAUUCCCGGUGUAGAGGUGAAAUUCGUAGAUAUCGGGAGGAAUACCGGUGGCGAAGGCGACUUUCUGGCUGAAUACUGACGCUGAGGCGCGAAAGCGUGGGGAGCAAACAGGAUUAGAUACCCCGGUAGUCC